GAAGGAUUAUGGAGACCCACUAAAGAUCAGAUAUUGGCAGAAGCAAUGACUGAAAUGUCUCUCUGGAGCUCUCCAAGGAAUGGUAAGGACAAUGCAGUUCUGUACCUGCAGGAUUUUUUCCUGAUGAUCCUCCUGUGACGCAAAGGAAGACUGGAGAAACAAGGAAAAGCUUUAAUACAUGUUCACCUGACAAGAAACCAGUCAUGCACUCCAAAACUCUGUGGUGGGAACCAAAGUGCAGAAAAUGGGGAUGACCAGGUGAAGAAAUUCAGAAGGAGCCACAGUUGAUCUGAACUAAAACUCUAAUGUAGACU